AUCCACAGGUCACUAUUAUAUCUACAGCAGUCUCUUUUAUUUACCAAACACAAAUGUAUCAUCAGAGCACUUUCCUUAUCAGACAUGGUUCCACUAUGUGUACAGAACAAGACCUAACAGUCCAGCAAUGUCCAGUGUAAUAUUAAGGACUGUGUUUACCUGUCUGCCUAAUUUUUCUCAAAGUAAAGACAGUGUCCAUACAGGUGGAAUAUUUCAUUUGCGAGCUGGUGAUCUUAUUCAAGUGUGUCUGUCUGGGCAGGGCAUUAUGGGUAGGGACAUUGUUCAGGAUUCCUCGUUUCUUGGUCUGUUUAUGUUGUCAAGUGAUCCAAGUGUAUGAAAGCAUUAGUGAUUACUUUUGCGUUUUAUACACCCUUUGAGAGUAAAUGCUGCAGAAAAAAUGCUGGGUAUCAAGAUACCAGGAAAAGAAGACAAGGGAGUUUGUAUUUUUACCAGCCAAAACUCUGGAACUCCUCAAUUCUGGGAAGAGACGAAAGUGGAGCUGGUUUGGUCAUGACUCACUGUUAAAAAGUCAUCCUUCAGGACACAGUGUGAAGAGCACGAAAUAAGGGGUCAUCCCAAGAAAAAGCUGGCUGGACAGCAUGACACAAUAGAAUUGCCUGGAAGGGCCUCUCUCUUGAUAUCCUGCCAAGAACAGCCGCUGACCAGAAAAUGUGGAGACAUUUGGUUACCUGAACUGUCACAGCACCACUAAGACAAAACGUCAAGCACAGGUGCUGAUGAUGAAUUGAUGUUUCCUUCACUAAUUUCAAUUUCGUCAAAAAUAUGCUGGCAUCACACACUUUGGAGCUAAACUACAAAACGUUAUCUUAUUGAUGUCAGCCAUUUUUAAUGGAGAAGGAACAAGUCUUGAAAUGUGCCUGGCAAUCACAUAAACAAGACCUUUAAAAAUGUUGACUACAUGCUAAUAUUUGCUAGAUCCUAAAUCAGAAAAGCUACCUGACCUGAAUCUGACCCUCCUGAAAAAUGUGGAUUAUAAGAAGAUCAGCACUUUUAUGUCAAUUUUUUCACAACACUUUUAUGCUAUUGGAGCUUUUCAUAAAUGGUGGAAACACUAUAAAUAGCAGGCUUUUCAGUGUAUCCUGUAUACAGAGUAAUGGGAUUGUUCACAAUAAAAAUUUUUUCUUCAGUAGCUUUUGUUUAGUUGGCAACAUUUCAAUUUAGUCUCCUUGACCUUGUUUAGUUCAUGAUGAAAAUCUCCUUAUGAUACGCUGUCGUCUGAUCCAAUUCCAUCUAGCAGUUUGCAUAAGAGGGAUAGUCUAAAGAAGUUUCUGUAGCUGUAAACAUAUUUGUGGCUGAUAUUUUUAUUUUUUUAGUGCAUUGCACCCUGGGGACCUACAUUGCCGCAACUAGUUGUCUUUUUUUUAGUCAAACUUUCUUGUUUUUUCUUUUUAAUGUUAAAUGUCAAAGCUAAUUAAUUAAAGUCAUUAUUCUAGUAUUGCACACCAAGGCGGAUCUACUUUACUGAUUUUAUCGUUAGCUCGACAAAAAUCCUAGUAUUCUUAAAUCUUUGAAAUUGUUAAGAAUCAAUUUGGUGCUUAUUGCAAUAGACUUUCAUUUUAAUUAGUAAAAAUAGGAGAGUCAGCGUUUUCAUUGCAUUGUUCAAAAACAAAUGCAUUUGCAAAUUGCAAUUUUGUAUUCUGUCACUUUUUAAAGUUCUUUAGUAGGAUGUUUAAAGGGUUAAUAAGUAUGGAAUUAAUGAACUA
rnacentral:sRNA from 1 species